UUAAACGAAGAAGAGCGCAGGGUGGAUGCCUUGGCACUAAGAGCCGAUGAAAGACGCGAUAAGCUGCGAUAAGCUGCGGGGAGGAGCAAAUAUCCAUAGAUCCGCAGAUUUCUGAAUGGGGGAACCCGGCGGAGCAAACCUCCGUCACCCAUACAUGAAUCCAUAGUGUAUGGGAGGGAACCCGGUGAACUGAAACAUCUAAGUAGCCGGAGGAAUAGAAAGAAAAAACAUUUUUCGAAAGAAAAAUCGAUUCUCAAAGUAGCGGCGAGCGAAAUGGGAAGAGCCCAAACCGGGGCGCGUGCGCCCCGGGGUUUAGGACCGCGUAAGUUAGUGGCAGAGUCAGCAGAAUGGCCCUGGGAAGGCCAGCCAGAGAGGGUGAAAGCCCCGUAGGCGAAGACCGAGCCGCAGCGGCGGGAUCCAGAGUACCACGAGACACGAGAAACCUUGUGGGAAGAAGCGGGGACCACCCCGCAAGGCUAAAUACUCCUUAGUGACCGAUAGAGCAUAGUACUGUGAAGGAAAGGUGAAAAGAACCCCGGGAGGGGAGUGAAAGAGAACCUGAAACCCUGUGUUUACAAGCUGCCGAAGUACCCUAUGAGUACAACGGCGUACUUUUUGUAGAACGGUCCGGCGAGUUACGGAUACUGGCAAGGUUAAGCACUUAAGGUGCGGAGCCGAAGGGAUACCAAGUGUGAACAGCGCGUGGAGUUCAUUUAUGAACUCUGGAGUCUGCUAAAGCAGACUCCAAGUCAGCAUCUGUAGACCCGAAACCGGGUGAUCUACCCAUGUCCAGGAUGAAGUUGCCGUAAAAGGCAAUGGAGGUCCGAACGCACAUCCGUUGAAAAGGGUGGCGAUGAGGUGUGGGUAGGGGAGAAAUUCCAAUCGAACCCGGAGAUAGCUGGUUCUCCCCGAAAUAGCUUUAGGGCUAGCCCUGUAUAAACCCAGCGGAGGUAGAGCACUGGAUUUCCGAGGGGGCGUCAAAGCCUGCCAGAGAAUACCAAACUCCGAAUGCCGUAUGGGUGUUGCACAGGAGUCAGGCUGCACGAGAUAAGUCGGGCAGCCGAGAGGGAAAGAGCCCGGACCCGCGGCUAAGGCCCCAAAGUGCAUGUUAAGUGGAAAAGGAUGUGGGGGUUCAAAGACAGCUAGGAUGUUGGCUCAGAAGCAGCCACACAUUAAAAGAGUGCGUAACAGCUCACUAGCCGAGAGCCCCUGCGCCGAAAAUGUCCGGGGCUAAAACAUGCCGCCGAAGCCCGGGGUCCAUGCAAAAGCAUGGGCGGUAGGGGAGCAUUGCCGGCACGAAGAAGCCGUACCGAGAGGGGCGGUGGAGUGCCGGGAAGGGAGAAUGCCGGAAUGAGUAGCGAGAGGAAGGUGAGAAUCCUUCCGGCCGAAUGUCCAAGGUUUCCAGGGUAAAGCUGAUCUGCCCUGGGUGAGUCGGGGCCUAAGGCGAGGCUGAAAAGCGUAGCCGAUGGAUAACAGGUAGAGAUUCCUGUACUGCCUUAUAACAGAAGAUGCGGGGACGCGUUGGCAAAGUGUGAGCCGGGAAAGGAAAAACCGGUGCAAGGACGAGAGGCGUCGGAGGGGAAAGUCCCUUCCGGCAGCAAGCCGGCCGUCUGAUGCAUAGCGAAAAAGAGUAGCGAAACACAUGGAGCGGGCGCCGAGAAAAGCCGCUAUUGUUUGUAAGGUACCCGUACCGAAGACCGACACAGGUGGACAGGGAGAGGAUCCCAAGGCCGGCGGGCGAAGCACUGCCAAGGAACUCGGCAAAAUGGCCCCGUAACUUCGGGAGAAGGGGCGCCCCCGUGAGGGGGCCGCAGAGAAUAGGCCCAAGCAACUGUUUAGCAAAAACACAGGUCUGUGCAAAACCGCAAGGUGAAGUAUACGGGCUGACGCCUGCCCGGUGCUGGAAGGUUAAGGGGAGGGGUAAGCGGGAAACCGCGAAGCUCCGAGCCUAAGCCCCAGUAAACGGCGGCCGUAACUAUAACGGUCCUAAGGUAGCGAAAUUCAUUGUCGGGCAAGUUCCGACCCGCACGAAAGGCGUAAUGAUUUGGGCGCUGUCUCGGCAGUGCACCCGGUGAAAUUGAAGUGCCAGUGAAGAUGCUGGCUACCUGCGCCAGGAC
rnacentral:rRNA from 1 species